GUGAGGAAUAUUGGACAAUGGGCGCAAGCCUGAUCCAGCCAUGCCGCGUGCAGGAAGACGCAUCUAUGGUGUGUAAACUGCUUUUGUACGGGAAGAAACACUCCCUCGUGAGGGAGCUUGACGGUACCGUAAGAAUAAGGAUCGGCUAACUCCGUGCCAGCAGCCGCGGUAAUACGGAGGAUCCAAGCGUUAUCCGGAAUCAUUGGGUUUAAAGGGUCCGUAGGCGGUUUAAUAAGUCAGUGGUGAAAGCCCAUCGCUCAACGAUGGAACGGCCAUUGAUACUGUUAGACUUGAAUUACAAGGAAGUAACUAGAAUAUGUAGUGGAGCGGUGAAAUGCUUAGAUAUUACAUGGAAUACCAAUUGCGAAGGCAGGUUACUACUUGUGGAUUGACGCUGAUGGACGAAAGCGUGGGGAGCGAACAGGAUUAGAAACCCUAGUAGUCC
rnacentral:rRNA from 1 species